rnacentral:rRNA from 1 species
GAGUUUGAUUAUGGCUCAGGAUGAACGCUGGCGGCGUGCUUAACACAUGCAAGUCGAACGGGCGAAUUAUAUCGGAGGUCUUCGGGCCGAAGAGAUAAUAAGCUAGUGGCGGACGGGUGCGUAACGUGUGGGUAAUCUGCCUUUGUCAUAGGAAUAACUGCUUGAAAAAGUAGCUAAUACCAAAUAACAUAUCGUAUAGGCAUCUAUAAGAUAUCAAAGAGAAAUCGGACAAAGAUGAGCCCGCAUCUGAUUAGCUGGUUGGUAGGGUAAAAGCCUACCAAGGCGACGAUCAGUAGCCGGCCUGAGAGGGUGAACGGCCACAUUGGAACUGAGACACGGUCCAAACUCCUACGGGAGGCAGCAGUGGGGAAUAUUGCACAAUGGGGGGAACCCCUGAUGCAGCAACGCCGCGUGAGUGAAGAAGGCUUUCGAGUCGUAAAACUCUGUGUAAGGGAAGAUAAUGACGUCCUAAAGAGCC